rnacentral:tRNA from 1 species
AGUAGCAUGGCUUAGUGGAAAGAGCACAGACCUGAGAGUCAGAGGACCUGGGUUUUAAUCCCAGUUCCACUG